CCAGACUCCUACGGGAGGCAGCAGUGGGGGAUAUUGGACAAUGGGGGAAACCCUGAUCCAGCGACGCCGCGUGAGUGAAGAAGUAUUUCGGUAUGUAAAGCUCUGUCAGCAGGGAAGAAAGAAAUGACGGUACCUGACCAAGAAGCCCCGACUAACUACGUGCCAGCAGCCGCGGUAAUACGUAGGGGGCAAGCGUUAUCCGGAAUUACUGGGCGUAAAGGGCGCGUAGGUGGGCGCUUAAGUCAGGUGUGAAAACUCCGGGCUCAACCUGGAGACUGCACUUGAAACUGGGUGUCUUGAGGGCAGGAGAGGAAAGUGGAAUUCCUAGUGUAGCGGUGAAAUGCGUAGAUAUUAGGAGGAACACCAGUGGCGAAGGCGACUUUCUGGACUGUACCUGACGCUGAGGCGCGAAAGCGUGGGUAGCGAACGGGAUUAGAUACCCGGGUA
rnacentral:rRNA from 1 species